GCGCUAAUACCGCAUAAGACCACAUCCUGUAAUGGGUGGGGUAAAAGUGGGCCAAUUCAUGAAAGCUCACACCUAGGGACGGGCCUGCGGAUGCAGGUAGUAGGAGGGGUAAUGGCCCACCUAGCCUAAGACGGGUAGCUGGUCUGAGAGGAUGAUCAGCCACACUGGAACUGAGACACGGUCCAGACUCCUACGGGAGGCAGCAGUAGGGAAUCUUGCGCAAUGGGCGAAAGUGACGCAGCGACGCCGCGUGAGUGAUGAAGGCCUUAGGGUUGUAAAGCUCUGUGGAGAGGGACGAAUAAGCUCUGGUUAAUACCCAGGGUGAUGACGGUACCUCUUUAGCGAGCACCGGCUAACUCUGUGCCAGCAGCCGCGGUAAGACAGAGGGUGCAAACGUUGUUCGGAAUUACUGGGCGUAAAGCGCGUGUAGGCGGCCAUGCAAGUCGGAUGGGAAAUCCCGGGGCUCAACCUCGGAAGUGCAUUCGAAACUGCUUGGCUGGAGUCUCGGAGGGGAAGCGGAAUUCUGGGUGUAGAGGUGAAAUUCGUAGAUAUCCAGAGGAACACCGGUGGCGAAGGGGCUUCCUGGACGAGUACUGACGCUGAGACGCGAAACUGGGGAGCAAACAGGAUUAGAUACCCUGGUAGUCCACGCCGUAAACGAUGAGCGCUAGAUGUCGCGGGCAUUGACCCCUGCGGUGUCGUAGCUAACGCAUUAAGCGCUCCG
rnacentral:rRNA from 1 species